UACAGAGGGUGCGAGCGUUAAUCGGAAUUACUGGGCGUAAAGCGCGCGUAGGCGGCUUUGCAAGUCGAGUGUGAAAUCCCCAGGCUUAACCUGGGAACUGCAUUCGAGACUGCAUUGCUAGAGUAUGGGAGAGGGAAGUGGAAUUUCCGGUGUAGCGGUGAAAUGCGUAGAUAUCGGAAGGAACAUCAGUGGCGAAAGCGACUUCCUGGACCAAUACUGACGCUCAUGUGCGAAAGCGUGGGGAGCAAACAGG
rnacentral:rRNA from 1 species